rnacentral:pre_miRNA from 1 species
ACAACAUUCGGACCGUCGGUCUACCGAGCAAUAUCACCCGCUCGGUGGAAGAUCUUCUCUUGGUCGU